rnacentral:rRNA from 1 species
UACGGAGGAUGCAAGCGUUAUCCGGAAUGAUUGGGCGUAAAGCGUCCGCAGGUGGCUGUGUAAGUCUGCUGUCAAAGAGCGAAGCUCAACUUCGUAAAGGCAGUGGAAACUACACGGCUAGAGUGCGUUCGGGGCAGAGGGAAUUCCUGGUGUAGCGGUGAAAUGCGCAGAUAUCAGGAAGAACACCAAUGGCGAAAGCAGCUCUCUGGGACGGUACUGACGCUGAGGCACGAAGGCCAGGGGAGCAAACGGG